rnacentral:rRNA from 1 species
UACAGAGGGGGCGAGCGUUAUUCGGAAUUAUUGGGCGUAAAGGGCGCGUAGGCGGCUUUGCAAGUGGCGGGUGAAAUCCCUCGGCUUAACCGAGGAACUGCCUGUCAAACUGCAUGGCUUGAGACCAGGAGAGGUGAGUGGAAUUCCCAGUGUAGCGGUGAAAUGCGUAGAUAUUGGGAGGAACACCAGUGGCGAAGGCGGCUCACUGGACUGGUACUGACGCUGAUGCGCGAAAGCGUGGGGAGCAAACGGG